AUUGAACGCUGGCGGCAUGCCUUACACAUGCAAGUCGAACGGCAGCACGGGAGCAAUCCUGGUGGCGAGUGGCGAACGGGUGAGUAAUAUAUCGGAACGUGCCCGGUCGUGGGGGAUAACGUAGCGAAAGCUACGCUAAUACCGCAUACGAUCUACGGAUGAAAGCGGGGGAUCGCAAGACCUCGCGCGAUUGGAGCGGCCGAUAUCAGAUUAGGUAGUCGGUGAGGUAAAGGCUCACCAAGCCGACGAUCUGUAGCUGGUCUGAGAGGACGACCAGCCACACUGGGACUGAGACACGGCCCAGACUCCUACGGGAGGCAGCAGUGGGGAAUUUUGGACAAUGGGCGCAAGCCUGAUCCAGCAAUGCCGCGUGCAGGAUGAAGGCC
rnacentral:rRNA from 1 species